rnacentral:rRNA from 1 species
AUUGACCUCGGAUCAGGUAGGGAUACCCGCUGAACUUAAGCAUAUCAAUAAGCGGAGGAAAAGAAACCAACAGGGNAUUGCCUCAGUAACGGCGAGUGAGCGC